AAAAUUAGCAGGUAAGGUAUCA
rnacentral:miRNA from 1 species